rnacentral:lncRNA from 1 species
UCCCAGGCUAGGGGUCCAAUGGGAGCUGUAACCGCCAGCCUACACCACAGCCACAGCAAUGCAGGAUCCUAGCUGAGUCUGCAACCUAGACCAAAGCAAUACCGGAUCCUUAACCCACUGAGCAAGGCCAGGAUUGAACCCACAACCUCAUGGUUCCUAGUCAGAUUUGUUAACCACUGAGCCAUGACGGGAACUCCCUAGAAGUUUUUGUCUUAAAUGAAUAUCUAAUAAAAUUAAUGUUGCUAAAGUAAUAUCUUAAAGUAUUCUCCUAUGAAGAACAAACUAUUCUAGUAAUGUUGGUCAUGAUUACAAUGUGCUUCACAAACCCUUUUUCAAUAAAUUAAACAUCAGCAAGUUCUUUUUCUUAUUAUUAUGAAUUUGGAAUUGGUAUCUUAAGAUGAAGUUUAGUAAGAAUUUAAUAAUAUUAAAGCUUUCUAAAUAUGGAAGUGCUUGGAUCACAGUACUAUCUUGUGCAUUAAGAAAUACGGAGUUGGUAUUCCCACUGUGGCCAGUGGUAAUGAACCCAACAAAUAUCCGUUAAAGACACGGGUUCAAUCCUUGGCCUCACUCAGUGGGUUGAGGAUCUGGUGUUGCCGAGAGCUGCAGUGUAGGUCACAGACAUGGCUCAGAUCUUGUGGUGCUGUGGCUGUGGCUGUGGCCUAGGCCAGCAGCUACAGCUCUGAUUUGACUUCUAGCCUGGGAAUUUCCAUAUGCUGUGGAAAGUGGCCCAAAAAAAAAAAAAAAAAAAAAGACAGAAAAUAAGAAACAAGGAGUAAAAAAUAUGAAAUUAGAAUUAUAUUGUAAUGUUAAAUGGGAAUUCAUCAUCUUUCUUCCUGAAAAAUUUAACUCAAAGAUAAACUUUCCAUUUGAAAGAGCCUUUUCAAGCUUUCUUUCCGACUACUGACUAUCCUAUACAAAUAAAUAAAUAAGAAAUCCUAAUUCAACUUCAAAAUAUAUAAAUUUAAAUUCCUGAGAGUUCUAUUAUAAUUUUUGAAAUAUAUUUAACUUUUCAUUAUAAAACCACAAAUAUUUUUCAUAAAAUUUAGAAAAUGUAAGAGUAAAAUUUCAGAAGAAAAGUUUAGAAUCCCACUAAAAAUAAGCACUAUAAACAUAUGGGGAUUUUUAAUUAAAUUUAAAAAUCUUUAUAAUUAGAUUCUCUGAUUAUUCAGUUCUGAGUACUCUAUAGUAAAAUCUACAAAAAAAAAGACCAUGUGAAUGCUAAAAUCUAGGCCCAAGAUUCUUUCAUUUGGAAAGCCACAUUGGCUCUACUUUUGAGAAUAGCAAUUCUUCUCUCAACUAAAUAUUGUUAAUACAGAUAAAGAAUUACCAAGCAAAGCCUAAGUUGUUUUUGUGUGAACUCCAAACAAGAUAAAUACUAAUCUAAAUCAUUUGAUCUAUCCUUAUAAAAGAUGCAUUAUUUUGGAGAAUAUGCACCUUUAUAAACCAAAGAGAACCUUUUUUCCUUCAUCAUUAGAACUAUUUAGAAUGUAGCUGGCUUGAUUUUAGAGGUUAUAUAGUAUUUUUAAGUAUUAUCAAAUAUUAGAAAUAUUCAAAUCAUUCAGAAUGCCAAGAUGUUCCCAUGAAAAUAUAGGGAUCAAAGCCAACCAGGUCCUCCUGUCUCACUCUGAGAGUGAUGAGCAAGAGUUCCUUUGGAAUAUGAAUUAGAUAUAUAUUUUUUUUUCUAUCAAUGAAUGUGCAUAGUUAAAUUUAAGUUAAAUGUGCUUAUAUUAACUUACAUUUAUUCACGAGAUUCCACAGUAUUUCUUCCUAACUUUCAUUGCAGUAUAUAUUUAUUAUAUAAUUCAGGAAUUUCCAUAUUGAAAGCUGAGAAUCAUUUUUCCUCUUAAAUUAUCCCAAUACCCUGUGAACCAAUCCAUUAUACUUAAACCCUGAAUCAAGCUUCUAAGAGAUAUAAUAUGACAAUACCACAGAGCAUGUUUGGACUUAAUAUGAGAAGAGGAGAAAAGGCAUAGAAAAGGGAACACUUUUUCCUCUUUUACUUCACAGUUCAAUUUGAAAUGAAAAGUAGCUGCUUAAUAAUGGGUUGUUUCUAAUUGGUGCCCUAAGGUAUUUGACUCAUUCUAUUGGAAUUUUUAACUAGGAUUGCAUUGAUUCCACAGAUUGCAUUGGUAAAUAUCAACAUAGUUAACAACAUUGAGUUUUUGAAUCCAUGAACAUGGUUUAUCUCCAGUCAUCUUUCAUUUAUUUCAGUAAUAUUAGUUAGUAUUCAAUAUAUAAGUCAUAUACAAUAUAUGUGUUAUGUCCUAUCUAUCUAUCCAUCUAUCUAUCUCUAUCUAGAGUUCAUUUUAUACCAAAACAUAUUUGUUUUUUAUGCUAUUAUAAAUUGUAUUUUCUAUUUUCUUUUCUAAAUGUUUAUUGUUAAUAUAAUGCAAUGUAAAUGAUUUUUUUGUGAAUUCUUGUAUCCUGCAACCAUGAUAAAUUACUUUAUUGGUUCUAGUAGCUUUUGUAGAUUCAUAAAGAUUUUAUAGUAAUACAUCUGUUUCCUAUCUUCUGUUGAGAUUGUCUCUUAGUCAAUGGUUUUCAACAAUUUAAGUAUGAUGUGUCUGAAUGUGAUUUCCUUUGUUUUCACCCUGCUUAGAGUUAAGAUACUCAGAUCAUUAGACAUAUUUUUUUAAUCAAAUUUGAAACAUUUUCAGCCAUUAAUUGUUCAAGUAUUUUUUCUGCCUUCCCUCAAACCCUACUUUUUGGCAUUAACAUGUAUUGAACUAAUUAACAGUAUCCCAUAGAUCACUGAAGCAGUAUUGUUUGUUUCAGUAUUUUUUCUCUCUGUGAGAUUCAGACUGAACAGUUUCUCUUACUGCCUUAACAUUCAGCUGAUUUUUUCCUGGUAUAUCUAUUUACUGUUAUGCCCAUACAGUAAAUUUUUCACUUCAAACAUGUUAUUUUUUAACUCCAGAAGUUACAUUUGAUUCCUUUUUAUAUCACCCAUUGCUUUUUUCUUCAGAGUCGUGUUUUCCUUUUAAUCUUGGAUUACAUUUAUAGUAGCUGUUUAAAAAUUUUUUUUCUUCAAAUUCCAUUAUCUCUGUCAUUUUUGGGUCUGUUUUUCAUUGGUGAUUUUCCUUCUAGUUAUGUGUCACAUGUUCCAACUUCUCGUGUAAAACAAAUUUUAGUUUAAUGCUAGUCACUGCAAAUUUUAUGUACUGAAUAUUGAAUUUUGUUGAAUUCCUUUAAGAAAUGUUAGAAAUUUUCCUGGAAGGCUCUUUAAUAGCUAGAAAUCAGUUUGGUCCUUUUGAGUCUUGCUUUUAAGUUAUGUUACGGCAGGUCUGGAGUGGCCUUACUAAAGAGCUUGCUAAACCCUCCUAAAAAGGGGAUCCUUUUGGGGGUCUCAUUACUCAGGCUAUUAACAAGGUCUCUCCACUUUGAACAAAACUCAAACAUCUCCAACUCUUGCAUAGGUUCUAGGAAUGGUUCAUCUGUUUGUUGAAGGUUUACCCAAGGUAAGCACAGUUUAGUAUUCAGCAACCGACUCAAGGAAAUGCCUUUGAAAUUUAUGGAGCUCUUUUUCUUCAUAGCUCUUGUCCCCCUAUACUCUAUCCUACUAGUUCCACUUCUUCAGACUCCCCAAACUUUAGUUUCUGUCUUCUCAGUGAGAUUACUGUGCUCUUGCUAGGUUCUUCUUCUCUGCAUUAUGGUCAGGAAGGCAUACCCAGGCACAAAACAUAAUUCUUUCAAUGCAACAGAAGAUAGAAUUAGGUUUUAAAAUAUCUGCCUCUUCCUAUUAUCUCAUACAAAUUUGAGGGUUUAUUUUCAGGAACUACGUCUUUCAUGUGGUACCUGGUUAUGUUGUUCACAGUAUGUUGCGACAAAAUACAGGAAUUAAAUUUAUUCUUAUUAGGGAGUACCCGUUAUGGCACAGCAGAAAUGAAUCAAACUAGUACCCCUGAGGAUGUGGGUUCUAUUCCUAGCCUUGCUCAGUUGGUCAGAGAUCUGGUGUUGCUGUGAGCUAUGGUGUAGCUCAUAAAUGAGGCUUGGAUCCCGUGUUGCUGUGGCUGUGGGGUAGGCUGAUAGAUACAGCUCUGAUUCGUCCCCUAACCUGGGAACUUCCAUAUGCUGCAUGUGCAGCCCUAAAAAGCAAAAUAAAUAAAUCAAUAAAUUCUUAUUAAAGUUUAUAUUUGAAUAAUUUGGAAAUUUUAUAACAAUCCCUUAUCUUCUCAUUCAAAUCACUUAUAAAACAACCUUGAUAACAAUGAGCUCAAAGAUAUCACUUAAUAUCCUUUAAGUAUACCUAUGCUUUAGCCAUACUUAAUUGUGUUACAUUACCCAAACACCCUUCUCUUAACAUCCAUUUUCUUAAUUCUAUUUCUUAAGAGUACAGACUCUAAGAUAAACAACUUAAGUUCAAAUUCUAAUUCCAUAAGUUUAUAAAGCAAAUUUUAUUUAAACUGUCCAUACCAUAGUGUUACCAUUUUAAAAAUAGGAACAAAAAUAACAAUAACAGAAAUAUUGUUAUGAAGCAUAUAUAGAAUAGAGUAUGUAGUCAAUAAAUGUGAGCUAAUGUAAUUACUUGCAAAACUUUUUCCUACUUCUUCAUAUACAUAUCCUAUUCAUAAUUAAAAGUCCAAUUAAAAUGCACCUUUAUAGGAAGACUUUCCCCUACCUCCAAGCUGAGAGUGUGCUUUCUUAAGUAGGCCAUUAAUAAAUAUUUGCCAAAAACAAGCAAACAAAAAUCAAACAUAUCUAGCAAAGUUUUUCAAAUAGCUUAUGAAUCUACUUAGACAUACUGACUACAUUUUGUAAAAUUUCUUGCUUACAUCAAGAUACAUAUGUUUGCAACAUUUUCCUAUCUAAUAACCUAGUUUACUUUAUCAAGAAGGAAAAUGAGAUGAGUAUGAAAUGACUUGCUCUUAGUGAAAUAAAGAUAUGGCUCUUAAUAAUCACCUUGGUUUCCACAUGCUCACAAAUAAUUUAUUCAAUAUGUAAUUUCAGAAUUUUGCUGGAGAUAAACAAAAUUAACUCUGUAGGUUACAGAAUCCAUCUUUAAGAUUUUAUGCAUUUGCUCAUAUCCAUGUUUUUACACAUUCCAAAUCUUGAAAUGUGAUUAUAUCUGGAAGUUACAAAUUUCAAAAAAGCACAGACUUCAGAGCCAAAGUCCUUAGUUUUGGACUCCAGGUGCUUUGAUAGACAGCUGUGUAGCUUGAAAAAAGUUAUUAUUAUUAUUAUUAUUUUCUCUUUUUAGGGCUGCAUCUGAGGGAAGUUCCCUGGCUAGGGGUCAAAUUGGAGCUGUAGAUGCUGGCCUAUGCCAAAGCCACAGCCACACCAGAUCCGAGCAGUGUCUGCAACCUACACCACAGCUCAGGGCAUUACCAGAUCCUUAACCCCCGAGUGUGGACAGAGAUCGAACCGUAUCCUCAUGGUUACUAGUCGGGAUCGUUACCACUAAGCCACAACACAAACUCCUUGAAAAAAUUAUUUAUUUUCAGUUAAUACAUCUGUAAUUGGAGAUAAGAGCAUCUUCUUGGGUAUAUGGCUAUUAAAUGAGAGUAAGUAAAAAGGUCUGGCCUAGUACCUACCAUUCAAAAUUCUUUAGUUGCUUUUCUGUUUCCUCACCUAUACAAUGGGAAUAAUCAUCCCUCCUACUUCUCAGGAUCACCAUAAGGAUCCAGUGAAAUACAUAUAUAUAUCGACAAUGUUUUGAAAAAGACAUGAUAUAAAUUGGCAAGUGCUUUUUUUUCCCCAAAAAUAUGAUUAUUAUCAUUCUGGAAAAAAUUGCCAAACUCUGUAAGAUUUUGAUUUUAAAUUUGCCUAAAUGGCUUCUUACUAACCAGUUCAAUCACUGAUUUCCAUUCCCUUCUUCCAAUUUGAACCUUAUUCCUCUUAGCUGAGAAAAUAUUAGCAAAAUAAAUGUUGAUCGUCUCUUCCUUCUUUAUAUGUCCUCCUAUCAUCACACCAUAUUCUUCCAAGUAAUGGCCCUAUCUAUUCAGUAUGAGUGACUUUUCAUAUCCCUUCUCAAAGUUUAUAAUACUAAAAGACUAAAUUAGAAUGUUAUUGCAUAUACAGAAAAGAGAGUUGAAAAAUUUGGAGUGCUUUUUUCACAGAUGAUGGAAAAAAAUUCAUUGGGAUAUCCUAAAAAAUCAAUAACUAAGUAUUAUAAAUAAGAAAAUUUAAUUAUUUUAGGAGUUUCUGUCAUGGCGCAGUGGAAGUGAAUCCCACUGAGAAACAUGAGGUUGUGGGUUCGAUUCCUGGCCUUGCUCAGUGGGUCAAGGAUCCGGCGUUGCUGUGAGCUGUGGUGUAGGUUGCAGACGUGGCCUGGAUCUGGCAUUGCUGUGGUUGUGGCUGUGGCUGUGGCGUAGGCCGGCAGCUACAGCCUCAGGUGCGGCCC